rnacentral:rRNA from 1 species
UACGUAGGGUGCGAGCGUUAAUCGGAAUCACUGGGCGUAAAGCGCACGUAGGCGGUUUCUUAAGUCAGGGGGUGAAAUCCUGGAGCUCAACUCCAGAACUGCCUUUGAUACUGGGAGACUUGGAGUCCGGGAGAGGUGAGUGGAACUGCGAGUGUAGAGGUGAAAUUCGUAGAUAUUCGCAAGAACACCAGUGGCGAAGGCGGCUCACUGGCCCGGUACUGACGCUGAGGUGCGAAAGCGUGGGGGAGCAAACAGG